rnacentral:rRNA from 1 species
CGCGAAAGCAUGGGGAGCAAACAGGAUUAGAUACCCUGGUUAGUCCAUGCCGUAAACGAUGAGUGCUAAGUGUUAGGGGGGUUUCCGCCCCUUAGUGCUGCAGCUAACGCAUUAAGCACUCCGCCUGGGGAGUACGACCGCAAGGUUGAAACUCAAAGGAAUUGACGGGGGCCCGCACAAGCGGUGGAGCAUGUGGUUUAAUUCGAAGCAACGCGAAGAACCUUACCAGGUCUUGACAUCCAACUAACGAAGCAGAGAUGCAUUAGGUGCCCUUCGGGGAAAGUUGAGACAGGUGGUGCAUGGUUGUCGUCAACUCGUGUCGUGAGAUGUUGGGUUAAGUCCCGCAACGAGCGCAACCCUUGUGAUUAGUUGCUACGCAAGAGCACUCUAAUCAGACUGCCGUUGACAAAACGGAGGAAGGUGGGGACGACGUCAAAUCAUCAUGCCCCUUAUGACCUGGGCUACACACGUACUAUCAAUGGCCGCUCACAGAGGGAAGCAAGACCGCGAGGUGGAGCAAACCCCUAAAAACGGUCUCAGUUCGGAUCGCAGGCUGCAACCCGCCUGCGUGAAGCUGGAAUUGCUAGUAAUCGCGGAUCAUCAUGCCGCGGUGAAUACGUUCCCGGGCCUUGUACACACCGCCCGUCACACCAUGGGAGCCGGUAAUACCCGAAGUCGGUAGUCUAACCGCAAGGAGGACGCCGCCGAAGGUAGGAUUGGCGACUGGGGUGAAGUUGUAACAAGGUAACCA